rnacentral:rRNA from 1 species
UCGUACCACUCUCGGCAAUGGAUAUCUUGGCUCUCGCAUCAAUGAAGAACGUCGUGAAAUGCGAUACUUGGUGUGAAUUAUAGAAUCCCGUGAACCAUCGAGUCUUUGAACGCAAGUUGUGCCCAAGGCUAUCCGGCCGAGGGCAUGCCUGCCUG